rnacentral:rRNA from 1 species
UACGGGGGGAGCAAGCGUUGUUCGGAUUUACUGGGCGUAAAGGGCGCGUAGGCGGCGUGACAAGUCACUUGUGAAAUCUCCGGGCUUAACUCGGAACGGUCAAGUGAUACUGUCGUGCUAGAGUACAGAAGGGGCAACUGGAAUUCUCGGUGUAGCGGUGAAAUGCGUAGAUAUCGAGAGGAACACCUGCGGCGAAGGCAGGUUGCUGGGCUGAUACUGACGCUGAGGCGCGAAAGCUAGGGGAGCGAACGGG